UACGGAGGAUCCAAGCGUUAUCCGGAAUCAUUAGGUUUAAAGGGUCCGUAGGCGGGUGCGUAAGUCAGUGGUGAAAGUCUGCAGCUCAACUGUAGAACUGCCAUUGAUACUGCAUACCUUGAGUAAUUAUGAAGUGGUUAGAAUAUGUAGUGUAGCGGUGAAAUGCAUAGAUAUUACAUAGAAUACCGAUUGCGAAGGCAGGUCACUAACCAUUAACUGACGCUGAUGGACGAAAGCGUGGGUAGCGAACAGG
rnacentral:misc_RNA from 1 species